GCCGACCCAGAAACACCCUGCAGCCGCGCCAACUGUGACUGCAGGUGACGUCCUCCAUCCUGAAGGGCCUCAGCCCUGAGAGCAGACAAAAUAGAUUCUAUGUCCAUGCCCUGGCCGUUAGACAAGCCGUGGUAACAGGCAGCAAGGAGGAAGAUGUUACCAGCCGUUAUUUUAAGAUGGCUGAGGUAAGGGACAAAAUGACUGCCCUUUUAUAUGACCCCACCCCACCC